rnacentral:rRNA from 1 species
GACGAACGCUGGCGGCGUGCUUAACACAUGCAAGUCGAACGGUAAGGCCCUUCGGGGUACACGAGUGGCGAACGGGUGGGUAACACGUGGGUGAUCUGCCCAGCACUUCGGGAUUAGCCUGGGAAACUGGGUCUAAUACCGGGUAGGACCACUGCCUGCAUGGGUGGUGGUGGAAAGCUAUUGCGGUGUGGGAUGGGCCCGCGGCCUAUCAGCUUGUUGGUGGGGUGAUGGCCUACCAAGGCGACGACGGGUAGCCGGCCUGAGAGGGUGACCGGCCACACUGGGACUGAGAUACGGCCCAGACUCCGACGGGAGGCAGCAGUGGGGAAUAUUGCACAAUGGGCGCAAGCCUGAUGCAGCGACGCCGCGUGAGGGAUGACGGCCUUCGGGUUGUAAACCUCUUUCAGCACCGACGAAGCGCAAGUGACGGUAGGUGCAGAAGAAGGACCGGCCAACUACGUGCCAGCCGCCGCCGUAA